UCCGGUUUGUCACCGGCGGUCCCCUUAGAGUUCCCAACUGAAUGCUGGCAACUAAGGGCAAGGGUUGCGCUCGUUGCGGGACUUAACCCAACAUCUCACGACACGAGCUGACGACAGCCAUGCAGCACCUGUUCACGAGUGUCCAAAGAGUUCCACAUUUCUGCGGCGUUCUCGUGUAUGUCAAGCCUUGGUAAGGUUCUUCGCGUUGCAUCGAAUUAAUCCGCAUGCUCCGCCGCUUGUGCGGGUCCCCGUCAAUUCCUUUGAGUUUUAGCCUUGCGGCCGUACUCCCCAGGCGGGGAACUUAAUGCGUUAGCUGCGUCACGGAAUCCGUGGAAUGGACCCCACAACUAGUUCCCAACGUUUACGGGGUGGACUAC
rnacentral:misc_RNA from 1 species